rnacentral:rRNA from 1 species
GACGAACGCUGGCGGCGUGCCUAAUACAUGCAAGUUGAGCGCUGAAGGUUGGUACUUGUACCAACUGGAUUAGCAGCGAACGGGUGAGUAACGCGUGGGUAAUCUGCCUUUGAGCGGGGGACAACAUUUGGAAACGAAUGCUAAUACCGCAUAAAAACUUUAAACACAAGGUUUAAGUUUGAAAGAUGCAAUUGCAUCACUCAAAGAUGAUCCCGCGUUGUAUUAGCUAGUUGGUGAGGUAAAGGCUCACCAAGGCGAUGAUACAUAGCCGACCUGAGAGGGUGAUCGGCCAACAUGGGAAUGAGAACCCGCCCAAACUCCUACGGGAGGCAGCAGUAGGGAAUCUUCGGCAAUGGACGAAAGUCUGAACGAGCAAAGCCGCGUGAGUGAAGAAGGUUUUCGGAUUGUAAAGAUCUGUUGGUAGAGAAGAAAGUUGGUGAGAGUGGACAGUUCAUCAAGUGACGGUAACUAACCAGAAAGGGACGGCUAACUACGUG